rnacentral:rRNA from 1 species
ACUCCUACGGGUGGCGGCAGUGGGGAAUUUUGGACAAUGGGGGCAACCCUGAUCCAGCAAUGCCGCGUGUGUGAAGAAGGCUUUCGGGUUGUAAAGCACUUUUGUCCGGAAAGAAAACGCCGUGGUUAAUACCCGUGGCGGAUGACGGUACCGGAAGAAUAAGCACCGGCUAACUACGUGCCAGCAGCCGCGGUAAUACGUAGGGUGCAAGCGUUAAUCGGAAUUACUGGGCGUAAAGCGUGCGCAGGCGGUCCGCUAAGACAGAUGUGAAAUCCCCGGGCUUAACCUGGGAACUGCAUUUGUGACUGGCGGGCUAGAGUAUGGCAGAGGGGGGUAGAAUUCCACGUGUAGCAGUGAAAUGCGUAGAGAUGUGGAGGAAUACCGAUGGCGAAGGCAGCCCCCUGGGCCAAUACUGACGCUCAUGCACGAAAGCGUGGGGAGCAAACAGGAUUAGAUACCCUGGUAGUCCACGCCCUAAACGAUGUCAACUAGUUGUCGGGUCUUCAUUGACUUGGUAACGUAGCUAACGCGUGAAGUUGACCGCCUGGGGAGUACGGUCGCAAGAUUAAAACUCAAAGGAAUUGACGGGGACCCGCACAAGCGGUGGAUGAUGUGGAUUAAUUCGAUGCAACGCGAAAAACCUUACCUACCCUUGACAUGUAUGGAAUCCUGCUGAGAGGUGGGAGUGCCCGAAAGGGAGCCAUAACACAGGUGAUGCAUGGUUGUCGUCAGCUC